AUUGAACGCUGGCGGCAGGCCUAACACAUGCAAGUCGAACGGUAGCACAGAGGAGCUUGCUCCUUGGGUGACGAGUGGCGGACGGGUGAGUAAUGUCUGGGAAACUGCCUGAUGGAGGGGGAUAACUACUGGAAACGGUAGCUAAUACCGCAUAACGUCGCAAGACCAAAGCGGGGGACCUUCGGGCCUCUUGCCAUCAGAUGUGCCCAGAUGGGAUUAGCUAGUAGGUGAGGUAAUGGCUCACCUAGGCGACGAUCCCUAGCUGGUCUGAGAGGAUGACCAGCCACACUGGAACUGAGACACGGUCCAGACUCCUACGGGAGGCAGCAGUGGGGAAUAUUGCACAAUGGGCGCAAGCCUGAUGCAGCCAUGCCGCGUGUAUGAAGAAGGCCUUCGGGUUGUAAAGUACUUUCAGCGGGGAGGAAGGUGAUACGGUUAAUAACCGUGUCAAUUGACGUUACCCGCAGAAGAAGCACCGGCUAACUCCGUGCCAGCCGCCGCGGUAA
rnacentral:rRNA from 1 species